AUUGAACGCUGGCGGCAGGCCUAACACAUGCAAGUCUAACGAGUGGCGGACGGGUGAGUAAUGUCUGGGACACUGCCCGAUGGAGGGGGCUAACUACUGGAAACGGUAGCUAAUACCGCAUACAAUCGGAUGUGCCCCGAUGGGAAUACCUAGUAGGUGGGGUAAUGGCUCACCUAGGCGACGAUUCCUAGCUGGUCUGAGAGGAUGACCAGCAACACUGGAACUUAGACACGGGCCAGACUCCUACGGUAGGCAGCAGUGGGGAAUAUUGCACAAUGGGCGCAAGCCUGAUGCAGCCAUGCCGCGUGUAUGAAGAAGGCAUUCGGGUUGUAAAGUACUUUCAGCGAGGAGGCGUUACUCGCAGAAGAAGCACCGGCUACCUCCGUGCCAGCAGCCGCGUAAUUC
rnacentral:rRNA from 1 species